AACCCCUAAUAAGACUAACGUUGAAAAUAUGGCAGGUGGGUACUGGUGCUCGAUCAGAAAAGAUUAGAACAUACAACUAUAAGGACAAUAGAGUUACGGAUCACAGACUAAAAAUGAACUUUGAGCUCACUUCUUUUCUCGAUGGGGACAUUGAGACAGCUGUUCAGUCUUGUGCUACGAUGGAGCAGAAGGAAUUACUCGAGGAACUUGCCUUGUCCGCAAGUGCCAUGGCUACAUGAUCGGCGUGAUGCUUCAGAUCUCAACCUCGACGUGCUUUAAGGUGCAGUUGUGGAGGUACUUCUAAGCACAUACCAGUUGGAGUGUAUCUUCACAUGAGCAUUUGCCCUUAUAGCCACGAUUCUCUUGCAAUACAGAUCCAUAUAUUUGUAGUUUUGUUAAUUACACCAUCUUUUUUAAAAAAAUGUUAUGGUUGGUUAA